UAAAUAGAGGGGCAUCUGGGCUGCAUUUGCCAGUUACCUGUCAGGAGCCAUUGGUCAAGUGGGCAUUCUUUGAUCCACCAUCAGGUGUCGUUGGAGCCGAGCCUCUGAGAGGGAGUUGUUUGGAGUUCUCGACGAGUAAAAGCGCAUAGUACGCAAAGAUGAGGUCGACGGCCCUGUUUCUGGUUGUCCUCUUGGCCAUUGGAGUCCUGACCUCCGCUGACCCCCAGAGCCACUUCACGGGGUUCAGGAGGCCCACAAGACCUCGAAACAAUGGUCCACCUCCCGCCAGAGACUCCGCAGAGGUUGUGGAGCCCUUGUUGGUCAGGAAUAGGAGACAUGUGAUGGAGGACAUUGGACCGUUGGAGUCUGAUUAGCACAUGUUUUCCAUAUGUACACAUGGUCUAAUUAUCCCUUGACCGAGGCGGUAAUCCCUCUGGAAGCGGAAACAGGUACCGUUCCAUAUUUUCGGCAGCUGGUUCCUUCAAGUCAAUUAACCUCAUAUAACCUCAUCAAAUGUUAAUAUUUGCUUUUGAAUAAAUUGCUUGAAUAUGCAAAAA